rnacentral:rRNA from 1 species
ACCUGCCCUUGAAGUAGGGGAUAACACUUGGAAACAGGUGCUAAUACCGUAUAACAACCAAAACCACCUGGUUUUGGUUUAAAAGAUGGCUUCGGCUAUCACUUUAGGAUGGACCCGCGGCGUAUUAGCUUGUUGGUAAGGUAACGGCCUACCAAGGCAAUGAUACGUAGCCGACCUGAGAGGGUAAUCGGCCACAUUGGGACUGAGACACGGCCCAAACUCCUACGGGAGGCAGCAGUAGGGAAUCUUCCACAAUGGACGAAAGUCUGAUGGAGCAACGCCGCGUGAGUGAUGAAGGGUUUCGGCUUGUAAAACUCUGUUGUUGGAGAAGAACAGGUGUGAGAGUAACUGUUCACAUCUUGACGGUAUCCAACCAGAAAGCCACGGCUAACUACGUGCCAGCAGCCGCGGUAAUACGUAGGUGGCAAGCGUUGUCCGGAUUUAUUGGGCGUAAAGCGAGCGCAGGCGGUUUCUUAGGUCUGAUGUGAAAGCCUUCGGCUUAACCGGAGAAGUGCAUCAGAAACCAGGAGACUUGAGUGCAGAAGAGGACAGUGGAACUCCAUGUGU